rnacentral:rRNA from 1 species
UACGUAGGGUGCGAGCGUUAAUCGGAAUUACUGGGCGUAAAGCGUGCGCAGGCGGCGCGUUAAGACAGGUGUGAAAGCCCCGAGCUUAACUUGGGAAUUGCGCUUGUGACUGGCGUGCUGGAGUGUGGCAGAGGGAGGUGGAAAUUCCACGUGUAGCAGUGAAAUGCGUAGAGAUGUGGAGGAACACCGAUGGCGAAGGCAGCCUCCUGGGCCAACACUGACGCUCAUGCACGAAAGCGUGGGGAGCAAACAGG